CAUUUGAUUUUUAUGGGGGGGCUAGGAUGAAAAAAAAUUUCCUGCUUUUUUUUUAGUUGUAAUCUCUGUCCUGCCUUUUUAUUUUUUACUCUAUUCGGUCCUGCCUUUUUUUUACUAGUUUAUCCUGACUUUUUUUACACAAAUUGUCAUCCUGCCUUUUUUUUUUUGCCAAGAUGCUCAUCCUGCCUUUUUUUUUUACUCAAAACUCCUGUCCUGCCUAUUUUUUUUUCAAAUUUCAUCCUAGCCCCCCCCCCAUAAAAAUCAAAUGGUAGCUCCCUAAAAAAUAAUCAUUAAAUCUA
rnacentral:lncRNA from 1 species